rnacentral:rRNA from 1 species
AUUGAACGCUGGCGGCAGGCCUAACACAUGCAAGUCGAGCGGCAGCGGGAAAGUAGCUUGCUACUUUUGCCGGCGAGCGGCGGACGGGUGAGUAAUGCCUGGGAAAUUGCCCAGUCGAGGGGGAUAACAGUUGGAAACGACUGCUAAUACCGCAUACGCCCUACGGGGGAAAGCAGGGGACCUUCGGGCCUUGCGCGAUUGGAUAUGCACAGGUGGGAUUAGCUAGUUGGUGAGGUAAUGGCUCACCAAGGCGACGAUCCCUAGCUGGUCUGAGAGGAUGAUCAGCCACACUGGAACUGAGACACGGUCCAGACUCCUACGGGAGGCAGCAGUGGGGAAUAUUGCACAAUGGGGGAAACCCUGAUGCAGCCAUGCCGCGUGUGUGAAGAAGGCCUUCGGGUUGUAAAGCACUUUCAGCGAGGAGGAAAGGUUGAUGCCUAAUACGUAUCAACCGUGACGUUACUCGCAGAAGAAGCACCGGCUAACUCCGUGCCAGCCGCCGCGGUAA